CGGGACCUUAAAACCACAAAACACAGUUUGAAACAGACUCUGUGUCAUGUGGAGUCCACACACUUGCUUUUGCCACUGAAUUCAUUAAGGCUGGUGGCUGCAUUGACUACUUCCAGUGCCUUCAAUACACCCAGAGAGUAUGGCCCUGCCUCACUUUAGUUUCGUUCUUUAGACUGAACAAAAACAUGGAAUUUGUGCCAAACCUUUGUCAGGGAGAAAAAAAAA